rnacentral:tRNA from 4 species
AGCUUUAUAGUCAAUAAUGAUAUUAGACUGCAAUUCUAAAGGAGUAAAUAAUUUACUAAGGCUU